rnacentral:tRNA from 2 species
GCGCCAGUGGUUUAGCGGUAAAAUCCAUCGUUGCCAUCGAUGGGCCCCCGGUUCGACUCCGGGCUGGCGCA